rnacentral:rRNA from 1 species
AUGGAGAGCGGCCAAAGGAGCAACGACGGCCAGCCCCUGCCUCCUCUCCAGCACGUCCAGGGAUCCAUAGUGUUCUUACAUCUAGAUCUAUGGACAGGGUCAGUUGCUCCUAUCUGGACGAGCUUUGUUAGGGUCAUGUGGUUGCUGCUGCUACCACUUUGUCGGGGUCAAGGGUCAAUAAAACUCAGCUUCCAGUGUUCCUUCUGCGGUGUGGAGGAGAUCCCCAAACCGAAACCCUGGCUCCUCUCUCUGCUCGGCACCGCCUACACCAGCGGCUUCGACAGUCAAUCCUCAGCGCCUGUCGCGACAAAGCUCUGGAAGGAGUGUGAUUGUGCUAGCAGAGUAAAAUACUGGAAUCGCUCUGACUGCUCCUGGACUUCCAAGGUGACGCUGGGAGAUUCGUUCUGCCACUUUGCCUAUACUCCACCUGAUCACCGUUCAUCCAGAGAAAAGGAGAGGAAGGGGAUGGAUGAGCAAGGACCAGAAGGACCAGAAGAAGAAGGGCAAGGGAGAUGGGGCGAUGUGCAUGUCCAUGGAGGUAGUUGA